CCUGGCGGCGAUAGCGCGGUGGUCCCACCUGACCCCAUGCCGAACUCAGCAGUGAAACGCCGUAGCGCCGAUGGUAG
rnacentral:rRNA from 1 species